GCUGGGCAUGGUGGUGCGUGCCUGUAAUCCCAGCUACUCGGGAGGCUGAGGCAGGAGGAUUGCUUGAACCAGGGAGUUGGAGGUUGCAGUGAGCCGAGAUAGUGCCACUGCACUCUAGCCUGGCAACAGAGCAAGACUCUGUCUCGG
ensembl:misc_RNA Metazoa_SRP Metazoan signal recognition particle RNA